rnacentral:rRNA from 1 species
GACGAACGCUGGCGGCGUGCUUAACACAUGCGAGUCGAACGGAAAGGCCCUGCUUUUGUGGGGUGCUCGAGUGGCGAACGGGUGAGUAACACGUGAGUAACCUGCCCUUGACUUUGGGAUAACUUCAGGAAACUGGGGCUAAUACCGGAUAGGAGCUCCUGCUGCAUGGUGGGGGUUGGAAAGUUUCGGCGGUUGGGGAUGGACUCGCGGCUUAUCAGCUUGUUGGUGGGGUAGUGGCUUACCAAGGCUUUGACGGGUAGCCGGCCUGAGAGGGUGACCGGCCACAUUGGGACUGAGAUACGGACCAGACUCCUACGGGGGGCAGCAGUGGGGAAUAUUGCACAAUGGGCGGAAGCCUGAUGCAGCAACGCCGCGUGCGGGAUGACGGCCUUCGGGUUGUAAACCGCUUUCGCCUGUGACGAAGCGUGAGUGACGGUAAUGGGUAAAGAAGCACCGGCUAACUACGUG